rnacentral:rRNA from 1 species
GAUGAACGCUAGCGGGAGGCCUAAUACAUGCAAGUCGAACGGUAACAGGGUAGCAAUACCGCUGACGAGUGGCGCACGGGUGAGUAACACGUACACAAUCUGCCUUAUACUGGGGCAUACCCUCGGGAAACUGAGAAUAAUUCCCCAUAAUAUAUCAAAACGGCAUCGUUUUGAUAUUAAAACUCUGGUGGUAUAAGAUGAGUGUGCGUCUGAUUAGCUAGUCGGUAAGGUAACGGCUUACCAAGGCUACGAUCAGUAACUGGUCUGAGAGGAUGAUCAGUCACACGGACACUGAGACACGGGUCCGACUCCUACGGGAGGCAGCAGUAGGGAAUAUUGGACAAUGGAGGCAACUCUGAUCCAGCCAUCCCGCGUGAAGGAUUAAGGCCCUCUGGGUUGUAAACUUCUUUUCUCUGGGAAUAAAAACCGGUAUUCAUAUCGGCUUGAAGGUACCAGAGGAAUAAGCACCGGCUAACUCCGUG